ensembl:lincRNA
AUGAAUAAUAUGUAUGCAAUUUUAAAAUUGCGUAAAAUUAAUAGAUUUACUUCUGACUGUUCAGAUGUGCAGAUUUUGAUGUCUUCUGGGCUGGAGACUGAGUCUUCAAUCAACAGCAGUGCUCUGGAAGAGGAGGAGACCUGUAAUCAUGGCAACAGCCAAUCACGGGCAGACUCCAUCAGCAGCACUGCCAAUGGUCCACAGGGUAAUGCUGAUUUAAAAACGGGUCAACAUGAAGACCAACCCGAAGCAGAGCUGGAGACAGAACAGACCAACACUCGUGUUACAGAGAAGGACGGUGUGCAGUUUGUAGAGCCGCAGAAGCGAGAGUGUCACAUCACGUUCAGCAGGCAGGCAUCUCAGCAGAGCAGCAGUGACGCGGCCCGCCCUCGCUGUCCCAUAUACAUCUACAACUGCUCUCUGGACUCCCUCAAAGAGCAGCUGGUCCACCCGCGCUCCGGACGCCAGCCCAGAGACCUCUUCUUCAGACCUCAAGAGACAGACACCUGGGAGUUCAAUCAGCAGCCCAGAUACAGGUAGCUCUGCUUGCUGCUUCCUGCUGCUGCUGCUGCUGUAGGGCUGUAUUGGGACGGGGUUGGGAGGGUUAACAGGGGCCGCUUUUUGCCCCCCUCCGCACUGAAGGUGGUUUUUCUUUCCUUCUCUUUUUCUGAGGGAUUUUGCUACUCUAGGGAAGUCACUGCAGUAAUGGGAACUUUCAGAUGUCUUGUAAGGGUAUGAGGUCUUAAAAUAAUCGAAGGAAAACUUGUAAAUCAAAUCACUUUUAUUGUCACAUCAUCAGCAGCACGUGUGCUAUGAGUUAAAAGCGUAGAUUUUUAUUUUUUUUUUACUCAAAGUCUGAUCUUCGAUGUGCAACGAGGGAGCCAAUUUCCCGAAGUGUGUGUCUGUCGUAGAUAACGAGAGUGUGUACAUCCAGCACGAAAAACAACAAAAACACAAGUAAAACACACAAAACACAACAAAGUUUGCUGGGAGCUCGCAACACGGCGGCCAUGCUCGGCGCCAUCUUGAUGACGUGUUAUAUACUAGCAAUGAAGCUUUGGGGUCAGUAUUUUUAAAAAUAAUGCUUUUAUUCAGUAAAAAGCUAUUAAAUUGAUUUGAAGUAACAGUAAAGACUUAUGCAUUUGUAUAUCGUCCAUUGAAGGAAGCAUUAAGGUGAUUUAAAAAACAAGUCUUUAUUAAAAAUGUAGCUUUUUUUUAUUUUCCUUUUUUUCCAAACAUUUUCUCCCCCCCCCACACACACACACACACACACAUAUAUUAGGGGUGUCACGAUUUCAAUUUUUAAUCGAAAUCGAUCGAAAUUUAUGCUCAAUUUCGAUUAUCGAAUAAAAAAAUGGAAUCGUCGAUGCUGCCACGCCCCCAUGUCACGUCAGCUUGGCUUGCCAAGUGGGAAAAUAACAGGCUUGUUGAAGUGCUUGUUAAACUGCAGAAGCAGGAGACCCGUCGACAGAGCUUAAACCCUCUCCUCUUUCAAUGAAGUCGCCGGUGUGUAAGCAUUUUGGAUUUCCAGUGAGUUAUGUUGACAACGUUUGUGUUGUCGACAAAAAAAAAACAGAUUUACAAGCUCUGCUAUGUACGUAUUACGUACGGUUCGUCCGAUAGACAUCGGCAUCGCGAUCCUCCGCCCCCCCCCGUUGCAAAUCCGCUUGCGAAAAGUUCACACUCAGGCCCUGUUUACACUGUCUUUGUUUUUAAAUGGCAUUUUAGAACGACAACGAUUUGACAUCCACAGUGGCGUGUAGCAUUUCUGAGCCGCCCUCCUUCCUCACUACCUCUGAAAAUGCACAUCACAUGACCACACGGACACAGACGCACAUACAGCAGGUCCAGGCAGUCAGAGGACUGCUUCAAUCUUUCACUCACUUGUACUUUUUAGCGAACACCUCAGAUACUGUUGGCUGGUUCCUGUUGGUUGUGCGUCUUUUUUACCGACGCCAUUAUAACGACACAGAUCACUGCCUAUGCACGAGUCCUGCAGAAAAAGUGAUUGACAGGUGGUAAUUAUGUGUGUAUCUUGCCUUUAUUCAUUUACUGUAUGAUUUGUUAAUGGGUAAAACAAAAACCAUGCAGGUCAGGUAGUUUAAACGGUAGGCUACAAAUAAUUAAUUGGUCAUUAAUUAAUUAAUUAUUCAUAAUCGAAAAUCGAAUCGAAUCGUGCCUUUAGAAUCGAAAAUGUAAUCGAAUCGAGGAUUUGGAGGAUCGUGACACCCUUAAUAUAUAUAUAUAUAUAUAUAUAUAUAUAUAUAUAUAUAUAUAUAAUUUUUUUUUAACUAAUGUCUCAUUGUUCUCAAUU